ACAUAGCCUUCUGAUCAGUCUCUUUGCUGUUCUGCAUUUGGUCCACUGCUACCAGAAAGACGGAUCACACAUAUAACUCAGAAUAUUACUCCUCUCUUCGGAAACCUUCAGUAGCUCCCUAUGACCUACAGCGUAACACUCAAACCUCUCAGCUGGGAAGAAGACACAUGUGGAUAGAUGAGAAUUGCAGGAGCCAGACAGCUAACACCUGACAAUGGCCUGUUCUGUUCCCUGGCACGAGAAAGUUUGAUGACCCCUAGCUAAGAGCCAUGGUAGACCACUGAAGGACUUCAAGUAAUAAUGGAUAUUGAAGUGUGACCAGGGCUAAGGACCACCAGAUAGAAGACAGCACAUUUCUAUAGCUCUCAUCCUAUUGCUGAAAUUAGACCUUUCUGCUAUCCGUGUAACAUGACCCUGCACUGACAUGGUAACACUUCACUUUCCUACCUGGACCAUAGCCAAGGGAUCACAUGGAGUUAAUAAGCUGUGACCAUUGAACAACAUUCACUAAAUUCUGUGUGUCCUUUUCCCAAAAGAUAAAUUACACUGAAGGAGGAAAAAUAUAACGCCUGUAGAUUCUUUCACUCAAGGCCUCCUUGUCUAGGAAGGGCGCUUGCUUAUUGUCUCACAUUUCUCUCAGAGAAUUCACAAACAUACCUCAAUGCCUUCACACGGAAAGGAAAGCUCAGAAUCUGUUCCCAGGGGAGGCGGUAAGUGUAGUUGGAAUCUCUUCCACAUUGGAGGCACUGGACUGACUGCUUCCCUAGACCACAGACAGGACUGAGACCUCCCCAUGGCUACCUCUAAGAACUCGAGAGGCUUAUCAGUGUGGGGGGCUGGGACCACCCAACAGGGGAAGACUAGAAUGUCCAGUAGAGAAACUACUGAAUACAGGAUAUAUCUGAAUAUCUGAAUCAUGCUCUAAGUGGAAACCCAGAGACAACCACAUCAUUUGGAUACCUCUAAGGAUUCCUGAAACAUCUUUCCCAUUGCAAUGGCACUCCAGAAAUAGGAGGCAGCCCCCAAUUUUGGCUAAAUUCUAAAAUAGCAUUAAAUGAUUUCAUUCCAUCCUCACUAGAAGCUUACUGGAAGCAGACAGGCUCAUCCCUAAUGACAAUGGUGGAAUGGGGAUUUGAACCCAGGCAGCCCAACUCCAGACAGCCUGAUGGGUGUCUGAAGAGAAGUAGGUUCCAACAUAGGGUGACACCUUCCAUUCUCCACCAUACCUUUUUAAACUUCAUCUGAAAAUAUCCUACAAGGCACCUUUACCACACAGAGGAGAUGAAGAAACAAAUAAAUACGAGGGAGGAGGAAAUGGAAAAUAAAACCCCCACUGGGUCUGGCUAUUAAUGUGUCUGCGCUGUUCCUACACUUGAAUAGAUCUGGUUCUGAGUCUGCUACUGAAAAGGAACCAAAAAUGACCUUGAAUUGAAACUCUUGCCUAGGAAGGUGCUGUGAUGAGCUCAGAGAGACCACAGCACAUCUCUGCAAGGGCUCUGAGCACCACCGUCAUGGUUGCUUCCAGCGGGCUGAGGGAGUGUCAGUUAGGUGGUUUCCGGUUCCGGUGACCUGCCUCGCUGUCAACGCCAAGCCUGGGUUUUCCUCUCUACAGGAUGGAGAGGAUGGGAGGUGAGAUGGUCUUUCCAAGGGAGAGACUCUUCCAUCAGUGCCUUCUUAAGAUGUGUUGCCCUUGUGAAGGUGGAACCCCAGGUAACAGGAACAUGGGUCAGUGUUCUCUUGAGCAAAUACCAAUGCCAGCCAAGCCCUCCCUGGCCUCAUUUUCUAUUGUUUUCAUUUACUCUGCCUUGGCCACACUGGUCCUUUUGAUCUUCCUGGAACAUGCCAGGCACAUCCC